UGAAAUAGAAUGACCCUCCUCCAUUUUCCUCCGUGAAAUACAGUAAUUGCAUAUGUAACAGUGUAGGUUCCGUCCCUCUCUUCGCCCCAACCAGAGCUCGAACCAGGAACCCUUGCACACCCACGAAGCACCGUUACCCAUCGCGCCACAAAAGCCACGGCCCAUUCAACGCAAGGGGAACCCCUACUUCAAGUCUCAGAGCGAGCCACGUCACUGAUUGAAACGCUAUUAGCGCGCACCACCGCUAACUACUUGCCAUUUCACAUCGGUUACGCAUACAUUUCUGCCUGUCCCUAAAGCAUAAUGGAUUUAUACUAUAGGAUUGGGGCGGUAAUGCAAGAUAUUGGAUGCCAACCACUAAUAACGUCCACUGAAGAAGAACAACAAUUUCGUCUUUAAAAAUAUUUUUCGGACUCAGAAUUUCGACUCCCGGAACACUUAAAACAAAGUAACUGUACUACUGCAGCCAACACACUUCUUGUCUAAGACAAGUUGUCUGAUGAAGAAACAAUAGAUUCCACAACGGAUCCGGGAGACUCAGUCCAGUGUAUGACAACGUCUCAGGCAUGGCCAUGGCCCCUACUGCAGCACAGACAAGCAGGGUGACGUUCACGACACCAAUGUCCAGCUAUCUUGCUCCAAUAACCAGGAAGUGCCUCUGUACUCCACAGUCCAACCUUCUCAACCCCAGAAAGGGGAUGAGGAUGUCCAGUACGAUGUUGUGAAAUUCAACCCCCC